rnacentral:tRNA from 1 species
GGGGCUAUAGCUCGGUGGUAGAGCACCCACCUUGCACGUGUGAGCACUGGGUUCGAUCCUAAGCACCA